rnacentral:lncRNA from 1 species
CUACAGAACCUGGAUGAAUGUGUCUGGGGUUUCACAGGCAUUCCUGGAGUGGCCUUGGGAUUAUUACCCUGUCAUCCAGGACUCUGCCCAGUCCUUUCAUCUCCUACCCAGGACCUAGGGUCUUAUCCCCGCAAAGAGGGCACUAGGUGGGCUGGGUCCUUGAGGUCUUCUGGGAAUUCUCAACUCCAGAGGUCAAAGCUCUGGGAGGAAAGCUUAGUUUGAAGCAAAUUAUCCUAGACUUUCCCAGCACUGUACAGCGGUAUUCCAUCUGUCCUAUGGGCAGCUCUGGAUUGACCCACGUCUGUCACAGGCACUCACCAGUAGGAUAGGGAGUCCCAGAGCUAUGUGAUCAGGGCAGGCAGGAUGGUCCCAGCCAGCAUGUGUGACUGCUGUAAUACCAGGUCUUCGACACAUUGGAGAAGGAGAAGGUCUAGUGUAGAGCCCCGAGCCUAGCCUGACAUUUUCCUGCAUUUUAUCAGAACUUUCAGCCUUGGCCCUCUCAGCCCAGGUGACUAGGGCUUGGUUGAUGUCUUCAGGCUCUGGGCAAGGUUCAACCCCAAUCCAUAGGGCAGGGCCAACAGUCUGGGCUGUGCCCUUCUGGGAUGGAGUGGGAGUGUAAGAUAAGCCCGUCUUCAUACCCAAGUAGAAUGUCCCUCUCAUCCACAGACUCUAGUCUAUCUGUGUGCUAUGAUGUGGUGCUGCCAUGGAUCCUCAUCCCAGUGUAGUGUCAGUGACAGGAAGUGGACAGGAUGCACGCUGUCAUAAGACUCCUUCAGAGCCUCCAGCAUGU